GAUGAACGCUGGCGGCAGGCCUAAUACAUGCAAGUCGAACGGGAUCCAGAUCAAAGCUUGCUUUGGUUUGGUGAGAGUGGCGUACGGGUGCGUAACGCGUGAGCAACCUACCCUUGUCAGGGGGAUAGCCCGGCGAAAGUCGGAUUAAUACCGCAUGACAUCAUUGAGAGGCAUCUUUCGAUGAUCAAAGAUUUAUCGGACAAGGAUGGGCUCGCGUGACAUUAGCUAGUUGGUAAGGUAACGGCUUACCAAGGCUACGAUGUCUAGGGGCUCUGAGAGGAGCAUCCCCCACACUGGUACUGAGACACGGACCAGACUCCUACGGGAGGCAGCAGUAAGGAAUAUUGGUCAAUGGACGGAAGUCUGAACCAGCCAUGCCGCGUGCAGGAAGACGGCCCUAUGGGUUGUAAACUGCUUUUAUACGGGAACAAACGUCGGUACGUGUACCGGUCUGAGUGUACCGUAAGAAUAAGGAUCGGCUAACUCCGUG
rnacentral:rRNA from 1 species